rnacentral:rRNA from 1 species
GGGCCCGCACAAGCGGUGGAGCAUGUGGUUUAAUUCGAUGAUACGCGAGGAACCUUACCAGGGCUUAAAUGCAGUUGGACAGGUCUGGAAACAGACCCUUCUUCGGACUAAUUGCAAGGUGCUGCAUGGUUGUCGUCAGCUCGUGUCGUGAGAUGUUGGGUUAAGUCCCGCAACGAGCGCAACCCUUAUCCUUAGUUGCCAGCACGUUUGGGUGGGCACUCUAAGGAAACUGCCGGUGCUAAGCCGGAGGAAGGCGGGGAUGACGUCAAGUCCUCAUGGCCCUUACACGCGGGGCUACACACGUGCUACAAUGGCAGUGACAAUGGGAUAAUCCCAAAAGCUGUCUCAGUUCAGAUUGUCCUCUGCAACUCGAGGGCAUGAAGUUGGAAUCGCUAGUAAUCG